rnacentral:rRNA from 1 species
UACGGGGGGAGCAAGCGUUGUUCGGAUUUACUGGGCGUAAAGGGCGCGUAGGCGGUCGUGACAAGUCACUUGUGAAAUCUCCGGGCUUAACUCGGUAGCGGCCAAGUGAUACUGUCGGACUAGAGUGCGGUAGGGGAGACUGGAAUUCCUGGUGUAGCGGUGAAAUGCGCAGAUAUCAGGAGGAACACCGGUGGCGAAGGCGGGUCUCUGGGCCGUAACUGACGCUGAGGAGCGAAAGCGUGGGGAGCGAACAGG